rnacentral:rRNA from 1 species
GACGAACGCUGGCGGCGUGCUUAACACAUGCAAGUCGAACGGAAAGGCCCUGCUUUUGUGGGGUGCUCGAGUGGCGAACGGGUGGGUAACACGUGAGUAACCUGCCCUUGACUUUGGGAUAACUUCAGGAAACUGGGGCUAAUACCGGAUAGGAGCUCCUGCUGCAUGGUGGGGGUGGGAAAGUUUCGGCGGUUGGGGAUGGACUCGCGGCUUAUCAGCUUGUUGGUGGGGUAGUGGCUUACCAAGGCUUUGACGGGUAGCCGGCCUGAGAGGGUGACCGGCCACAUUGGGACUGAGAUACGGCCCAGACUCCUACGGGAGGCAGCAGUGGGGAAUAUUGCACAAUGGGCGGAAGCCUGAUGCAGCAACGCCGCGUGCGGGAUGACGGCCUUCGGGUUGUAAACCGCUUUCGCCUGUGACGAAGCGUGAGUGACGGUAAUGGGUAAAGAAGCACCGGCUAACUACGUG